rnacentral:sRNA from 1 species
GCAUAGCCCCGAUUGCAACGGAAAUCCUUUUUAACUUUGCAAAAGUUUAAAAAGAUUGCAGUGUAAAGCGGGACCCGAG